CGCAUCCAGGCUGGAUCAUCAACCUCAGACGAAAUAGCCGCGGGAGAGGCAAUCCGCAUUUUCACCGGCGCGCCGAUGCCCGUGGGUGCGGAUACCGUGGUCAUGCNAAGAUGUGCGUCUCGAUGAAGCGGGCAAGGUGGUGCUGCCGCCGGGCCUCAAGGCUGGAGCGAACGUGCGGCCUGUGGGCGAGGAUAUCGCCGAAGGUCAUGCCGCGUUGCCGGCAGGCCGCCGGCU
rnacentral:misc_RNA from 1 species